rnacentral:rRNA from 1 species
UCGGUGGGGGAUGGACUCGCGGCCUAUCAGCUUGUUGGUGGGGUAAUGGCCUACCAAGGCGACGACGGGUAGCCGGCCUGAGAGGGCGACCGGCCACACUGGGACUGAGACACGGCCCAG